rnacentral:sRNA from 1 species
AUAUUCUACCCUACGGGAAGGAUGAGAAGCUUCGACUAAGGUUCGACUCGAGCGCCAGCGAGAGAACGUUGCCGCAGGCAACGGCCCGAAGGGCGAGGAGCGAUAGCGACGAGUUAUCCUUCCCCCUCUAUUC